CGUGCCUAAUACAUACAAGUCGAACGCACAGCGAAAGGUGCUUUGCACCUUUCAAGUGAGUGGCGAACGGGUGAGUAACACGUGGACAACCUGCCUCAAGGCUGGGGAUAACAUUUGGAAACAGAUGCUAAUACCGAAUAAAACUUAGUGUCGCAUGACACAAAGUUAAAAAGGCGCUUCGGCGUCACCUAGAGAUGGAUCCGCGGUGCAUUAGUUAGUUGGUGGGGUAAAGGCCUACCAAGACAAUGAUGCAUAGCCGAGUUGAGAGACUGAUCGGCCACAUUGGGACUGAGACACGGCCCAAACUCCUACGGGAGGCUGCAGUAGGGAAUCUUCCACAAUGGGCGAAAGCCUGAUGGAGCAACGCCGCGUGUGUGAUGAAGGCUUUCGGGUCGUAAAGCACUGUUGUAUGGGAAGAACAGCUAGAAUAGGAAAUGAUUUAGUUUGACGGUACCAUACCAGAAAGGGACGGCUAAAUACGUG
rnacentral:rRNA from 1 species